CAGCUGCUAAAACAGUAAAGUCAGCUUAGUAUUUUAUAUAGUAGGAAUUUUCCUGAAGCUUCUCACCAAAUCCAUCUCUAUAUCAUCAAGAAUCUCUAUCAGCAAAUCUCUGUCAUCAGAAUCAACAAGCUAGCUCUAUCAACAAAUCUUUGUCAGCCUGUUCGAGCAACCCUUUCACAAACAUAUCCACGAGAUCUCAUAAAACAUAAAUAUUUGUCUUGAUUUUGGUCUUUUAAAGUUGAGGAUCCACAUAAUAAGGUUUGACUCUGUGUUGCAGUAAUUUUGUACAUAUGCAGGUUCAGUUUGUUUGAUUUAAGUUUACCACAACAUUCUGAUCCAUGAUUCACUAACUCAAAAGACCUUGAUGAUACAUCAAUUGGACAGAGGACAGAGGUCUUGAGGUUCUUUUGUAUGGUAACUGUUCCUUUUGAGGUAGUUCCUUAGGAUUAUCCUUCUCUGCUGCAAAAUGAUUUAGAUCCAUUUACCACUGGAGUGUGUGCGUGUGUGCAUGUUUUUUUGUGUGUGUGUGUGAUAAUACAAUUCCAGUUGUGCAGAUUUCUGAGGCCUCAGACAGUGGUGCACCAUCAUAAAUUAAGAAAUUUUUGAAACUAAAAAGCAAACACAAUGUGUUGUCUACAGCUUUCAAGAUGAAGGAAAAACUAUAGUCUGCGGUGGACGAAGUUGGUCAGCAGACACAACGCACUAUUCCUAUUGACAAAUGCCUUUGAUCUGUAGUCUGUACAAUUUGAUAACCGAGCAAAAUUACAGAAAAGUUGUUCAUUUCACGGUAUUCUACAUGCCCAACUUUUCAAGAUUCGAUCGAUUUCCGAUUUCUGGAGGAAUUGUGCCUUCAAACAUGUUCUUACUAAGAGACAAAUGUUUCAACUUUGUAAGUUGAUCAAUAGAUUUUGGAAUGGCCCAAAAAAGUUAGCCUAGAUAUUCGAUGAAUAUCCGUAGGGAAUGGUCCAUAGAAUUGGUUACCAGAAAGAUCAAGAAUUUCCUGUCUUGAACACUUGUACAAAACUGUUGGAAGUUCACCUGAUAAGUUACUAUCUGCAAGUUCAAUAUCUACAAGAUUUUUGAGUUCACAAA